AUGGCCUGGGCUCCACUACUUCUCACCCUCCUCGCUCACUGCACAGGUUCUUGGGCCAAUUUUAUGCUGACUCAGCCCCACUCUGUGUCGGAGUCUCCGGGGAAGACGGUAACCAUCUCCUGCACCGGCAGCAGUGGCAGCAUUGCCAGCAACUAUGUGCAGUGGUACCAGCAGCGCCCGGGCAGUGCCCCCACCACUGUGAUCUAUGAGGAUAACCAAAGACCCUCUGGGGUCCCUGAUCGGUUCUCUGGCUCCAUCGACAGCUCCUCCAACUCUGCCUCCCUCACCAUCUCUGGACUGAAGACUGAGGACGAGGCUGACUACUACUGUCAGUCUUAUGAUAGCAGCAAUCA